rnacentral:tRNA from 1 species
GGGCUCGUAGCUUAGUCUGGUUGGAGCGUUCGACUGAUAAUCGAAAGGUCGAGAGUUCAAAUCUCUCCGGGCCCA